AGGCGCUUUCGGGGGCGCUGUGCCGGGGAGGCUUAGGCAAGGGGACGGGGAACCGUGAUUAGAUGCAGCAGCGGCAGCAGCAGCCCUCCCAGGUCCCACUUCUUUGGCGUUCCUGCUGCCUGUGACUCAAGGCAAUUGACUUCCAUCUGAACCCUCAGUUCCGAACGCCUUGCAUUAGAAACUAGAGCUUUGGAGGUUCUGAGGACGGUCCCUGGGGAGCAAGUGGUAGGUUUCGAGGCGCCCGCUUCCCCUCUGAUUCCUGCAGUAACUGAGGGAGAGUGUGCUAGAAACGGCUUUGCUGCCGAAUGCAUUAUCUUGCCAUUUUCGUGUCCCAAUACUGAACAAACGAUCGCCUGAUCGAUCGGAACUUCUUUUUCCUCUUUGAAACCGCCUUCCCAAGGGAACUGCCUGUGUGACUGAGAGGCUAGUAAUCUGUUUGUAGAUGAUUUAUAUUUUGGCUGCAGAAUGAAUCCCCCUCCCUACCCGGAGUACUCUCCUUAGAGAAGAUCCCCCGCCCCCUCCCCAUGGGUUCGCUCUCAGAGCUCGGAUCUGUAUAAAGAGCGCUGUGGGAGUCUUUUGCCCUCCGCUCUAGCUCUAUCUUCUUCCGGACCCCGAAGCUUAAGAAUUAUCCGCCUCACUCUCUUUUUUAGAAAUAGGAGGGAAAGGUAGAGUGGAAAUUGAUUUAUUGCAGAGACUGAGGCGCUGAAUGAUAGAGGGAAUAAACAUUUGCCCUGGAUAAAAAUGUUCUUGGCUGUUGUCCAGCUCUAAUGAUAUCCUAGAGCAGAAGUGUUUCUUCUGUUGUCUCAUUUUACCAAGAGGAUGACGUCUGUGUAUGUCUCUGUGUUUUAGAGAGGCUGACAAACGCUGCUAAGAGGAUCUGAGGUUCACAUAAAGAGGAUGAAAAUUCUGAAUUACUUUCAUUGCAAAUAAACCUUAACAAUUGUGAGAGUUAGAGAGCAUACUUUUCACAUAAGACUUUGAUAUGCUGCCUAAAGCUACUUACAUAAUUUGCUAUUCAGAGAAAUGCAUUUGUUUAUUGAGGAUCCACCUGGACUUAAAUUAGAAAAAUGUAACAUUCAGACUUUUAUUUUAUAUGUGAAAUAAAUGUGUGAUUGCUGUUCUUAAAAAUUUGAAAAAAAAACAGGAUAACAAGAAUAUUAAUUUUGUGACCCAUAGUUCACGAACUUUAAAAGUGUUUAUAGCAUUUAAAGUUUAUUUAACAAUUCAAGUAUUUGAGCACUACACUAAUUCAUAUGGUUACAUUUGGUCAACUCCUUCAUGAAGCCAUAGGCUUUAUAUCUCCUAGCUGCCUUUUACCUUCAGAACAAAGCUGGUUUAUACUUAGACCGCUCCAAAAGUUAUGUAUUUUAAUUUUAUCUUGAGAAUGUCUUCCUUAGAUAAUCACGGUGCAUAUUUGCAGCUAGUACUUCAGUACAUUUUAUAUUAUUGGUAAUGCUUUUGUUAGCCAUCCUGGUGCUGUCUUCUUAUAAGAACUAUGUAUGAGUACCAACUAACAUAUUUGUUACCUAUCAACCCACUAAAAUUUCUAAUCUAAAAGCAAUAUUCGAGAUACAUUUUAUUACAGAAAUUGGAAAGCAAUUUGCCUGGGAAGCAAAAUGUUGAUAUGAUUCAGCUGAUUUUAACAUUAAAUCUAACUUGUAACAAAAAUGGAUUAUAUAAGGAUAAAUAAAUUGAGACUAUUAUUUGCAUAGCAAAGAAAGUCACACAUGACCCACACAUUUAUGCACAUAUAAUUAAUUUCAAUAAAAUAUUUAUAUUUA